GGUCAGAUGGCCGAGUGGUUAUGGCGCUAGUUUCAGGCAGUUGAAACUGUGCUGAUAAAAAAAGCAGUUUCCCCAACACUUACUAGUGGGGCAACCUUCGUGGGUUCGAGUCCCACUCUGAUCA
rnacentral:tRNA from 2 species